UACGAAGGGGGCUAGCGUUGCUCGGAAUCACUGGGCGUAAAGGGUGCGUAGGCGGGUCUUUAAGUCAGGGGUGAAAUCCUGGAGCUCAACUCCAGAACUGCCUUUGAUACUGAAGAUCUUGAGUUCGGGAGAGGUGAGUGGAACUGCGAGUGUAGAGGUGAAAUUCGUAGAUAUUCGCAAGAACACCAGUGGCGAAGGCGGCUCACUGGCUCGAUACUGACGCUGAGGUG
rnacentral:rRNA from 1 species